rnacentral:rRNA from 1 species
UUAAGCGACUAAGCGUACACGGUGGAUGCCCUGGCAGUCAGAGGCGAUGAAGGACGUGCUAAUCUGCGAUAAGCGUCGGUAAGGUGAUAUGAACCGUUAUAACCGGCGAUUUCCGAAUGGGGAAACCCAGUGUGAUUCGUCACACUAUCAUUAACUGAAUCCAUAGGUUAAUGAGGCGAACCGGGGGAACUGAAACAUCUAAGUACCCCGAGGAAAAGAAAUCAACCGAGAUUCCCCCAGUAGCGGCGAGCGAACGGGGAGCAGCCCAGAGCCUGAAUCAGUGUGUGUGUUAGUGGAAGCGUCUGGAAAGGCGCGCGAUACAGGGUGACAGCCCCGUACACAAAAAUGCACAUAUUGUGAGCUCGAUGAGUAGGGCGGGACACGUGGUAUCCUGUCUGAAUAUGGGGGGACCAUCCUCCAAGGCUAAAUACUCCUGACUGACCGAUAGUGAACCAGUACCGUGAGGGAAAGGCGAAAAGAACCCCGGCGAGGGGAGUGAAAAAGAACCUGAAACCGUGUACGUACAAGCAGUGGGAGCACGCUUAGGCGUGUGACUGCGUACCUUUUGUAUAAUGGGUCAGCGACUUAUAUUCUGUAGCAAGGUUAACCGAAUAGGGGAGCCGAAGGGAAACCGAGUCUUAACUGGGCGUUAAGUUGCAGGGUAUAGACCCGAAACCCGGUGAUCUAGCCAUGGGCAGGUUGAAGGUUGGGUAACACUAACUGGAGGACCGAACCGACUAAUGUUGAAAAAUUAGCGGAUGACUUGUGGCUGGGGGUGAAAGGCCAAUCAAACCGGGAGAUAGCUGGUUCUCCCCGAAAGCUAUUUAGGUAGCGCCUCGUGAAUUCAUCUCCGGGGGUAGAGCACUGUUUCGGCAAGGGGGUCAUCCCGACUUACCAACCCGAUGCAAACUGCGAAUACCGGAGAAUGUUAUCACGGGAGACACACGGCGGGUGCUAACGUCCGUCGUGAAGAGGGAAACAACCCAGACCGCCAGCUAAGGUCCCAAAGUCAUGGUUAAGUGGGAAACGAUGUGGGAAGGCCCAGACAGCCAGGAUGUUGGCUUAGAAGCAGCCAUCAUUUAAAGAAAGCGUAAUAGCUCACUGGUCGAGUCGGCCUGCGCGGAAGAUGUAACGGGGCUAAACCAUGCACCGAAGCUGCGGCAGCGACGCUUAUGCGUUGUUGGGUAGGGGAGCGUUCUGUAAGCCUGCGAAGGUGUGCUGUGAGGCAUGCUGGAGGUAUCAGAAGUGCGAAUGCUGACAUAAGUAACGAUAAAGCGGGUGAAAAGCCCGCUCGCCGGAAGACCAAGGGUUCCUGUCCAACGUUAAUCGGGGCAGGGUGAGUCGACCCCUAAGGCGAGGCCGAAAGGCGUAGUCGAUGGGAAACAGGUUAAUAUUCCUGUACUUGGUGUUACUGCGAAGGGGGGACGGAGAAGGCUAUGUUGGCCGGGCGACGGUUGUCCCGGUUUAAGCGUGUAGGCUGGUUUUCCAGGCAAAUCCGGAAAAUCAAGGCUGAGGCGUGAUGACGAGGCACUACGGUGCUGAAGCAACAAAUGCCCUGCUUCCAGGAAAAGCCUCUAAGCAUCAGGUAACAUCAAAUCGUACCCCAAACCGACACAGGUGGUCAGGUAGAGAAUACCAAGGCGCUUGAGAGAACUCGGGUGAAGGAACUAGGCAAAAUGGUGCCGUAACUUCGGGAGAAGGCACGCUGAUAUGUAGGUGAAGUCCCUUGCGGAUGGAGCUGAAAUCAGUCGAAGAUACCAGCUGGCUGCAACUGUUUAUUAAAAACACAGCACUGUGCAAACACGAAAGUGGACGUAUACGGUGUGACGCCUGCCCGGUGCCGGAAGGUUAAUUGAUGGGGUCAGCGCAAGCGAAGCUCUUGAUCGAAGCCCCGGUAAACGGCGGCCGUAACUAUAACGGUCCUAAGGUAGCGAAAUUCCUUGUCGGGUAAGUUCCGACCUGCACGAAUGGCGUAAUGAUGGCCAGGCUGUCUCCACCCGAGACUCAGUGAAAUUGAACUCGCUGUGAAGAUGCAGUGUACCCGCGGCAAGACGGAAAGACCCCGUGAACCUUUACUAUAGCUUGACACUGAACAUUGAGCCUUGAUGUGUAGGAUAGGUGGGAGGCUUUGAAGUGUGGACGCCAGUCUGCAUGGAGCCGACCUUGAAAUACCACCCUUUAAUGUUUGAUGUUCUAACGUUGACCCGUGAUCCGGGUUGCGGACAGUGUCUGGUGGGUAGUUUGACUGGGGCGGUCUCCUCCUAAAGAGUAACGGAGGAGCACGAAGGUUGGCUAAUCCUGGUCGGACAUCAGGAGGUUAGUGCAAUGGCAUAAGCCAGCUUGACUGCGAGCGUGACGGCGCGAGCAGGUGCGAAAGCAGGUCAUAGUGAUCCGGUGGUUCUGAAUGGAAGGGCCAUCGCUCAACGGAUAAAAGGUACUCCGGGGAUAACAGGCUGAUACCGCCCAAGAGUUCAUAUCGACGGCGGUGUUUGGCACCUCGAUGUCGGCUCAUCACAUCCUGGGGCUGAAGUAGGUCCCAAGGGUAUGGCUGUUCGCCAUUUAAAGUGGUACGCGAGCUGGGUUUAGAACGUCGUGAGACAGUUCGGUCCCUAUCUGCCGUGGGCGCUGGAGAACUGAGGGGGGCUGCUCCUAGUACGAGAGGACCGGAGUGGACGCAUCACUGGUGUUCGGGUUGUCAUGCCAAUGGCACUGCCCGGUAGCUAAAUGCGGAAGAGAUAAGUGCUGAAAGCAUCUAAGCACGAAACUUGCCCCGAGAUGAGUUCUCCCUGACUCCUUGAGAGUCCUGAAGGAACGUUGAAGACGACGACGUUGAUAGGCCGGGUGUGUAAGCGCAGCGAUGCGUUGAGCUAACCGGUACUAAUGAACCGUGAGGCUUAACCUU